AGCACGAUGGCCGAGUGGUUAAGGCGUUGGACUUAAGUUCCAAUGGACAAUUGUCCGCGUGGGUUCGAACCCCACUCGUGCUA
rfam:Octopus bimaculoides Scaffold100562_contig_42, whole genome shotgun sequence.